AUGAAUGGCCAGUUUGCUUUUGUUGGCGGUGAAACCAGCAGACUGAUAAGAAAGAACGAAGAAGAGAAAUUCCAGGUCCACACAUGCAAACACACCUGCUCCCUUCAGGUUAAAAACCAAUGAAAUAUCAAGCUGAAGAUUAGAACAACAUUUGAUCUUCAGAGUGUAAAUGGAGAAACGCAGCGUCGCCCCGGACCAGUUAACAGGUUUAGCUCCUCGGCUGCUAACUAAAACAACAGCUUGUUGCCUCUUAAAGCAACAGGCGUUCACACCCACAUCAGGAUCUCCGGAAAGCUGCUCACCUGUGCAGUUAAAGGAUGCAGAGACGGAAGCGGAGCGGGCCGCUAUAAACCGGAGCCGCCGCCCAACUGGC